rnacentral:rRNA from 1 species
AGAGUUUGAUCCUGGCUCAGAUUGAACGCUGGCGGCAGGCUUAAGACAUGCAAGUCGAGCGGAAACGAUGGGAGCUUGCUCCCAGGCGUCGAGCGGCGGACGGGUGAGUAACGCGUAGGAAUCUACCCAGUAGAGGGGGAUAGCCCGGGGAAACCCGGAUUAAUACCGCAUACGCCCCACGGGGGAAAGGCCGGGAUCUUCGGACCGGUCACUAUUGGAUGAGCCUGCGUUGGAUUAGCUAGUUGGUGGGGUAAAGGCCUACCAAGGCUACGAUCUGUAGCUGGUCUGAGAGGAUGAUCAGCCACACUGGGACUGAGACACGGCCCAGACUCCUACGGGAGGCAGCAGUGGGGAAUAUUGCACAAUGGGCGCAAGCCUGAUGCAGCAAUGCCGCGUGUGUGAAGAAGGCUCUAGGGUUGUAAAGCACUUUCAAUAGAGAAGAAAAGCUUGAAAUUAAUACUUUCAAGCCUUGACGUAAUCUAUACAAGAAGCACCGGCUAAUUCCGUGCCAGCAGCCGCGGUAAUACGGGAGGUGCGAGCGUUAAUCGGAAUUACUGGGCGUAAAGCGAGCGUAGGCUGUUAAUUAAGUCGAAUGUGAAAUCCCCGGGCUCAACCUGGGAACUGCGUUCGAAACUAUUUAACUAGAGUAUGGGAGAGGAAAGUAGAAUUUCCGGUGUAGCG